CAGCCAUCCUUCAAAGAAAGCGUAAUAGCUCACUGAUCGAGUCUUCCUGCGCGGAAGAUGUAACGGGGCUAAGUCAAUAACCGAAGCCGCGGAUUCGCAGCAAUGCGAGUGGUAGGGGAGCGUUCUGUAAGCCUGCGAAGGCGGAUCUGCGAGGACCGCUGGAGGUAUCAGAAGUGCGAAUGCUGACAUGAGUAACGUUAAAGCGGGUGAAAAGCCCGCUCGCCGCAAGCCCAAGGUUUCCUGCUCUACGUUCAUCGGAGCAGGGUGAGUCGGCCCCUAAGGUCAGGCUGAGAAGCGUAGCUGAUGGGAAGCUGGUUAAUAUUCCAGCACCGAUUUCAAGUGCGAAGGGGGGACGGAGUCCUGAAGGUCAUCCGGGUGUUGGAUAUCCCGGUUUACGAGCGUAGGAGGUUGACAGGCAAAUCCGUCAACGAAUCUCCAAGGCGAAGGAUCGAGGUUGAGAGAUCAACUGAAGUGACUGAAUGGGCUUCCAGGAAAAGCCUCUAAGCAUCAGCUUGGAAUUGACCGUACCGCAAACCGACACUGGUGGGCGAGCUGAAUAUGCUCAGGCGCUUGAGAGAACUCAGGAGAAGGAACUCGGCAAAUUGACACCGUAACUUCGGGAUAAGGUGUGCCUUUGUAGUGUGAAGGGAGAAACACCCCGAGCAUGAAGAGGCCUCAGAGAAUCGGUGGCUGCAACUGUUUACUAAAAACACAGCACUCUGCAAAGAUGAAAGUCGACGUAUAGGGUGUGAUGCCUGCCCGGUGCUGGAAGAUUAAUUGAUGGGGUGCAAGCUCCUGAUCGAAGUCCCAGUAAACGGCGGCCGUAACUAUAACGGUCCUAAGGUAGCGAAAUUCCUUGUCGGGUAAGUUCCGACCUGCACGAAUGGCAUAAUGAUGGCCACACUGUCUCCUCCCGAGACUCAGUGAAGUUGAAAUGUUUGUGAUGAUGCAAUCUCCCCGCGGCUAGACGGAAAGACCCCAUGAACCUUUACUGCAGCUUUGCAUUGGACUUUGAACCGAUCUGUGUAGGAUAGGCGGGAGGCAGAGAACCGAGGACGCCAGUCUUUGGGGAGCCGACGUUGAAAUACCGCCCUGAUUUGUUUGAGGUUCUAACCGCGGACAGUAAACCUGUUCCGGGACCGUGCAUGGUAGGCAGUUUGACUGGGGCGGUCUCCUCCUAAAGGGUAACGGAGGAGUGCGAAGGUACGCUAGGUACGGUCGGAAAUCGUGCUGAUAGUGCAAUGGCGCAAGCGUGCUUGACUGCGAGACCGACAAGUCGAGCAGAUGCGAAAGCAGGUCAUAGUGAUCCGGUGGCACUGA
rnacentral:rRNA from 1 species